GAUGAACGCUGGCGGCGUGCCUAAUACAUGCAAGUCGAGCGAACGGACGAGAAGCUUGCUUCUCUGAUGUUAGCGGCGGACGGGUGAGUAACACGUGGAUAACCUACCUAUAAGACUGGGAUAACUUCGGGAAACCGGAGCUAACACCGGAUGAUAUUUUGAACCGCAUGGUUCAAAAGUGAAAGACGGUCUUGCUGUCACUUAUAGAUGGAUCCGCGCUGCAUUAGCUAGUUGGUAAGGUAACGGCUUACCAAGGCAACGAUGCAUAGCCGACCUGAGAGGGUGAUAGGCCACACUGGAACGGAGACACGGUCCAGACUCCUACGGGACGCAGCAGUAGGGAAUCUUCCGCAAUGGGCGAAAGCCUGGCGGAGCAACGCCGCGUGAGUGAUGAAGGUCUUCGGAUCGUAAAGCUCUGUUAUUAGGGAAGAACAUAUGUGUAAGUAACUGUGCACAUCUUGACGGUACCUAAUCAGAAAGCCACGGCUAACUACGUG
rnacentral:rRNA from 1 species